GACGAAGGGGGCUAGCGUUGUUCGGAAUUACUGGGCGUAAAGCGCGUGUAGGCGGUUGCCCAAGUCGGGUGUGAAAGCCUUGAGCUCAACUCAAGAAAUGCACUCGGUACUGGGUGACUAGAGGACCGGAGAGGAUAGUGGAAUUCCCAGUGUAGUGGUGAAAUACAUAGAGAUUGGGAAGAACACCAGUGGCGAAGGCGGCUAUCUGGACGGUUUCUGACGCUAAGACGCGAAAGCGUGGGGAGCAAACAGG
rnacentral:rRNA from 1 species